UCAUGAGGGUAAAGCCCUCAUGAAUGGAAUUUGUGCCCUUAUGGAAGAUAUACAAGAAAGAAGAUCUCUCGCUGUCUCUCUGCCAUGUGAAGAUACAGCAAGAAGGAGAUGGUAAAACUGAGACAUAGAAAGUUUUAAUUAACUUGCUCCAGAUGAUACACGUAGGAGGUGGUAGACCUGGGAUUCUGAGAGCGACAUAUGGCUCUAGAACAAUAAACUACCUCUCAAUGUCUGCCUGGUGGUGAUAUGGAAAAGGCUCCGAACAGUUAAAAUAACUCCGUGAAACUCACUCAGCCCUGCAUGGCGGAGCUGGCGUUUGGGAUCCAGGUGUGCGCCAGCCUGUGUUUUCACGGGCUGACAUUCAGAAAUGCCCAACUUGGGGCAAAUUCUAUAGAAAUGCAUACCUAUAGCAAUAUAAAACAGUCAAACAGUUGGAGUUUUCUACGUUUCAAAAAAAGGAAGAAACACUUGCAGCCAAGCCCCCACCUCUCGCCCCGGCUGGGAUGACCCGCCUAGGGAACAAGGGGAUGAGGAAAUGCUGCAGACUCGGGGUUUCUGGCUGGUUUCCUCCAGUGACAACUGUUAAGUCCAGGAGAGCUGCCUGGCAGUGCCACAGAGCAGAGUCACUCCUGGAGACUGUU